CUUUGGCGGUCCAAUGGUGACGAUAACCGGCUUCUGUUUGAUCUUCUUUAGCCGCAUGGCCACACAGACUGGAUCCAUUGUUCCAACCACUUUGAUGUCGACCUUGACCUCGAUGACUUUCUGCUCAAGAAAAAGAAAAUAAGAACCCGAGAAGAGGAUGAACGAAAUGGGAUGGUAUAUCACAGCUGGGAUUGUGAAAGGGUGUUUGAUAGAGUUUUUACCUUAGUGGCCAUGGUGGAGUUUUUGGAAAUGGAGCUGUCAAUGGGAAUGAGAGAAGAAUGAGAGAUUGGGGGAAGUGGGAAUAAUAAAAACAUGUGAUUUUAGGACAAAGACGAGAGAUGACAGAUGAGAAUAAUGUGUUGAAGCAGUUGGAAGGGGGUUGUCUCUUGUGCUCGAUCGUUGUUCUUCAUUAUUAGUUUCUUCACUGUUCA